rnacentral:misc_RNA from 1 species
UUUCCGUAGGUGAACCUGCGGAAGGAUCAUUAUCAUGUAAUUCAGUCCCCUUGGCUGUGUUAUAUAUAUACCCACUCUGUGUACCUUCUCCUGUUGCUUCCGCUGGGUGUGUAAUUCGCCCGGCGGAAGGGUAAAAAUAACCUCUGAGUAUUGAUGAAAUCUCUGUCUGAACCGAAUAAAAAGAAAAAUGUUAAAACUUUCAGCAACGGAUCUCUUGGUUCUC